UUUAGCCGGACGCUUAUUCUGUANGGUAACGUCAAAACAAUCACGUAUUAGGUAACUGCCCUUCCUCCCAACUNAAAGUGCUUUACAAUCCGAAGACCUUNUUNACACACGCGGCAUGGCUGGAUCAGGCUUUCGCCCAUUGNCCAAUAUUCCCCACUGCUGCCUCCCGUAGGA
rnacentral:rRNA from 1 species